UCGGGAAUUUUGGGCAAUGGGCGAAACCCUGACCCAGCAACGCCGCGUGAAGGAUGAAGUAUUUCGGUAUGCAAACUUCGAAAGAAUAGGAAGAAUAAAUGACGGUACUAUUUAUAAGGUCCGGCUAACUACGUGCCAGCAGCCGCGGUAAUACGUAGGGACCAAGCGUUGUUCGGAUUUACUGGGCGUAAAGGGCGCGUAGGCGGCAUGACAAGUCACUUGUGAAAUCUCUGGGCUUAACCCAGAACGGCCAAGUGAUACUGUCGCGCUAGAGUGCAGAAGGGGCAAUCGGAAUUCUUGGUGUAGCGGUGAAAUGCGUAGAUAUCAAGAGGAACACCUGAGGUGAAGACGGGUUGCUGGGCUGACACUGACGCUGAGGCGCGAAAGCCAGGGGAGCAAACGGGAUUAGAUACCCAUGUAGUCCCUGAGCGGGCUGGCAAGGCGCAU
rnacentral:rRNA from 1 species